GAUGGUUGGUCAGCCAGAGAGACAAAGGGCAGGGAGAUCUGGAACCUUCAAUAAAUCCUGCAGUGAGGUAAUCAGGAUGUUCCUCACUCCUGUCUCAUCCAUCACCUCAUUGAAACUGGUUGGUCAGCCCGAGUGAGAGAGGUGGAGAGGGAGAUCUGGAGCCUUCAGUAAAUCCUGCAGCCGCUUCUGGCAACAAAUGGCCACAAACCGAUCAAAGGUGAAAGCGACGGUGAACCAGACAGAGCAGUCAGUGGCUGCAUAAAGCAGGACGGCGUGGAUAUUACACACGCGGACGGAGUACUCCAGGAAAUAAAACUGUUCCCAAUAAACAAUGGGAAUGUGUCUCAGGAUCAGGUCGAGGAUAAUGACCAGGAGAUCCGCCGCUGUCAUGGCCCCCAGGUAACGUCUGACACAUGGAGACAAUCCACAAUCUUUAUAAAGCAGGACGUAGAUGGUCACUACGUUAACUGUGAGGAAGGAAAACAAACCCAUUAUCCAUCAGCCUGGAGGCAAAGGGACCCGUUUGAUCGGGGACUCUGUGAGAUUUUCAAAUGUGUCCCUGUAUUCAGGGAUUUAUUCAAAUAAUUGGAGCUGGAAUAACAAAUGGGAAGGUCGGAAUUACUGACAAAAAU